AUACGGAGGGUGCGAGCGUUAAUCGGAAUUACUGGGCGUAAAGCGUACGUAGGCGGUUGGUUAAGUUAGAUGUGAAAGCCCCGGGCUUAACCUGGGAACUGCAUUUAAAACUGGCGAACUAGAGUUGAGUAGGGGGGAGUGGAAUUUCAGGUGUAGCGGUGAAAUGCGUAGAGAUCUGAAGGAACACCGGUGGCGAAGGCGACUCCCUGGACUCGAACUGACGCUGAGGUACGAAAGCGUGGGUAGCAAACGGGAUUAGAAACCCCAGUAGUCC
rnacentral:rRNA from 1 species